rnacentral:rRNA from 1 species
GACGAACCGUGCGAACGUUGUUCGGAAUAACUGGGCUUAAAGGGCGCGUAGGCGGGCCGCCGCGUCCGGGGUGAAAUCCUCCCGCUCAACGGGAGAACGGCCUCGGAUACGGGCGGCCUGGAGGGGGGUAGGGGCGUGCGGAACUGUGGGUGGAGCGGUGAAAUGCGUUGAUAUCCACAGGAACUCCGGUGGCGAAGGCGGCACGCUGGACCCCACCUGACGCUGAGGCGCGAAAGCCAGGGGAGCGAACGGG